UGCGACCAGACUUGCCUUCAGUUGAUCAAUCGGUGUUCUUCACCGGUGCACUCGGCUGAGGUCAGGCCAGCAUCGGUCUAGGCGGUUGGAGAAAGGCUUUGGGAAUGUGGCUCCCUUCGGGGAGUGUUAUAGCCCAUGGUGUCAUGCAACCAGCUUGGACCGAGGACCGCGCCUCGUGCUAGGAUGCUGGCGUAAUGGUCGUAAGCGACCCGUCUUGAAACACGGACCAAGGAGUCUAACAUCUAUGCGAGUGUUUGGGUGUAAAACCCAUGCGCGUAAUGAAAGUGAACGGAGGUGGGAACCCUUGAGGGUGCACCAUCGACCGAUCCUGAUGUCUUCGGAUGGAUUUGAGUAAGAGCAUAGCUGUUGGGACCCGAAAGAUGGUGAACUAUGCCUGAAUAGGGUGAAGCCAGAGGAAACUCUGGUGGAGGCUCGCAGCGGUUCUGACGUGCAAAUCGAUCGUCAAAUUUGGGUAUAGGGGCGAAAGACUAAUCGAACCAUCUAGUAGCUGGUUCCUGCCGAAGUUUCCCUCAGGAUAGCAGACACUCAUAGCUCAGAUUUAUGUGGUAAAGCGAAUGAUUAGAGGCCUUGGGGUUGAAACAACCUUAACCUAUUCUCAAACUUUAAAUAUGUAAGAUGAAACCGUUUCUUAAUUGAACCGUUUCGCGAUUGAAGAGUGUCUAGUGGGCCAUUUUUGGUAAGCAGAACUGGCGAUGCGGGAUGAACCGAACGUGAGGUUAAGGUGCCGGAAUCUACGCUCAUCAGACACCACAAAAGGUGUUGGUUCAUCUAG
rnacentral:rRNA from 1 species